rnacentral:rRNA from 1 species
UACGUAGGCAGUAAGCGUUGUUCGGAAUUACUGGGCGUAAAGAGUGUGUAGGCGGUGCUCCAAGUCUGGUGUGAAAUCUCCCGGCUUAACUGGGAGGGUGCAUUAGAAACUGGAAUGCUAGAGGAUGGGAGAGGUAAGCGGAAUUCCUGGUGUAGCGGUGAAAUGCGUAGAUAUCAGGAGGAACACCUGUGGUGUAGACAGCUUACUGGACCAUUUCUGACGCUGAGACACGAAAGCGUGGGUAGCAAACAGG